UAACCCGGAGGAGGGAGGAGGGGAUAGGCCCGCUUUGCUCUCCAGUUUUCGCGACUGUUCCUCCUCCGGGUCCUUUUCGCCGCUUCCUCGCUUCCCGCCCGCUCUCCCUUCUCUCGCGGUGGGCAAAGCGAAGACUCCUUUGAAAUACAAGCAUAGUCUUGGGGAACCGCCUGAACUUCAUGAAAUCUUUGUUUUUAUGACUCUAUGGUAUAGGAGGAUCAUAAUGGUUUUUUUGCACAUCUCAUUUAAACCAGGAGAGAAGAGCUAUGGGAUUGGUGAAACUACUCAGG
rnacentral:lncRNA from 1 species